GUGUGUGUGUGUGUGUGUGUGUGUGUGUGUGUGUAAGUAAGUAAGUAAGUAAAGAUUUAUUGCCCAUUAGCAUAAAUACAUUUGAGAAAGACAUGUUUACAAACGAAAAGAAAAAUGGCAGAGACCGUCAAGCCGAAGCUUCCCGACAGUCACAUUUAUG
rnacentral:lncRNA from 1 species